AGAGUUUGAUCCUGGCUCAGAGCGAACGCUGGCGGCAGGCCUAACACAUGCAAGUCGAACGGAUCCUUCGGGAUUAGUGGCGGACGGGUGAGUAACACGUGGGAACGUGCCCUUUGGUUCGGAACAACUCAGGGAAACUUGAGCUAAUACCGGAUGUGCCCUUCGGGGGAAAGAUUUAUCGCCAUUGGAGCGGCCCGCGUCUGAUUAGCUAGUUGGUGGGGUAAAGGCCCACCAAGGCGACGAUCAGUAGCUGGUCUGAGAGGAUGAUCAGCCACAUUGGGACUGAGACACGGCCCAAACUCCUACGGGAGGCAGCAGUGGGGAAUCUUGCGCAAUGGGCGAAAGCCUGACGCAGCCAUGCCGCGUGAAUGAUGAAGGUCUUAGGAUUGUAAAAUUCUUUCACCGGGGACGAUAAUGACGGUACCCGGAGAAGAAGCCCCGGCUAACUUCGUGCCAGCAGCCGCGGUAAUACGAAGGGGGCUAGCGUUGCUCGGAAUUACUGGGCGUAAAGGGAGCGUAGGCGGACUGUUUAGUCAGAGGUGAAAGCCCAGGGCUCAACCUUGGAAUUGCCUUUGAUACUGGCAGUCUUGAGUACGGAAGAGGUAUGUGGAACUCCGAGUGUAGAGGUGAAAUUCGUAGAUAUUCGGAAGAACACCAGUGGCGAAGGCGAUAUACUGGUCCGUUACUGACGCUGAGGCUCGAAAGCGUGGGGAGCAAACAGGAUUAGAUACCCUGGUAGUCCACGCCGUAAACGAUGAGUGCUAGUUGUCGGCAUGCAUGCAUGUCGGUGACGCAGCUAACGCAUUAAGCACUCCGCCUGGGGAGUACGGUCGCAAGAUUAAAACUCAAAGGAAUUGACGG
rnacentral:rRNA from 1 species